AGGAGCAGACUCCAAUCCAUAUACUUUUCUAGUAUAAAAAACCUUCGGUAUCACUUGUUCUUUUGCGACUUGAUAUGGAAUCCCGCUUGACAACAAUAACAGCCUCCCCUGCUGUGGUUCCGGUGGCCACUCAUUUUCCAUUUGCUUUCUAUGUAGACUCUGCUUUCGUAAGACAGAUUUCACAUCGAUCCCUAGAGGUUAUAAACCUCCCAACUUCGUAACAUUUUCGGGAGAGGUCCGGUCUUCUUUUCUCUUUUGAGUCAGGUUCUUUUCUUAAGACAAGACAGGAAAUCGGGGUUUCUCAAUAUCUCUCUUCUGGCCUAAACUAAGUUAGUUCCAGAUCGAAACUGGACCUGAGAGAGACUAGACUUCUAGUAACACGGCUAAGAAGCAGCAAAGUCCGAUACGGAAUAAAAUCCCCUCUCUUCUUCUCUCUUUGUCCCCCGAACCAAUGAUUUGAUUCAAUGCCCCGGAGCCAGCAACUUUGGAUGGCUCGGCGAUAGCUAUCU
rnacentral:lncRNA from 1 species